rnacentral:snRNA from 1 species
GUGCUUGUCUGGGCAGCACAUAUACUAAAAUUGGAACCAUAGAGAUUAGCAUGGCCCCUGUGCAGGGAUGGGACACAUUCGUGAAGCGUUCAGUAUUGCC